rnacentral:rRNA from 1 species
UACGUAGGGGGCAAGCGUUGUCCGGAAUCAUUGGGCGUAAAGCGCGUGUAGGCGGUUCGGUAAGUCUGCUGUGAAAGUCCAGGGCUCAACCCUGGGAUGCCGGUGGAUACUGUCGGACUAGAGUACGGAAGAGGCGAGUGGAAUUCCCGGUGUAGCGGUGAAAUGCGCAGAUAUCGGGAGGAACACCAAUUGCGAAGGCAGCUCGCUGGGACGUCACUGACGUUGAGACGCGAAAGCGUGGGGAGCAAACAGG